rnacentral:rRNA from 1 species
AUUGAACGCUGGCGGCAGGCCUAACACAUGCAAGUCGAAUGGUAACAGGAAACAGCUUGCUGUUUCGCUGACGAGUGGCGGACGGGUGAGUAAUGUCUGGGAAACUGCCUGAUGGAGGGGGAUAACUACUGGAAACGGUAGCUAAUACCGCAUAACGUCGCAAGACCAAAGAGGGGGACCUUCGGGCCUCUUGCCAUCAGAUGUGCCCAGAUGGGAUUAGCUAGUAGGUGGGGUAACGGCUCACCUAGGCGACGAUCCCUAGCUGGUCUGAGAGGAUGACCAGCCACACUGGAACUGAGACACGGUCCAGACUCCUACGGGAGGCAGCAGUGGGGAAUAUUGCACAAUGGGCGCAAGCCUGAUGCAGCCAUGCCGCGUGUAUGAAGAAGGCCUUCGGGUUGUAAAGUACUUUCAGCGGGGAGGAAGGGAGUAAAGUUAAUACCUUUGCUCAUUGACGUACCCGCAGAA